rnacentral:lncRNA from 1 species
GAGACAUGAAAUUAAAGCUUAAUGAGUCUAGUUUCUUAUAAAAGAAACCGUGUAAGCAAAGGAAUUUCCGAUAAUGAGAUACUUAAAGUUGUGUGAGACAGCGCAGAAUGACACUGUAAUCCUCUGUUUUGUUUUUAGAAAAUCAUUAUAAAUUGUACAAAAAUGGUUAUAAGAUAAAAUUUAUAUGCUUAGACUCCUUAAUGAGUCUAGUUUCAAAUGAAAUCAAAUACAACACAUUUUGAAUUCUGUAAAAUGAUAAAUUUGAUUCGUAGUGAAGAGUGGUCAGAUUAGUCAAACAGUGAAACAGGGGAAACUUUAAGAAAAAUCUGGUAUUGAUUGGCCAAACCUAAAAUUCUGGAAAUUUU